rnacentral:rRNA from 1 species
CCCUUAGAUGUCCGGGGCCGCACGCGCGCUACACUGAAGGAAUCAGCGUGGCUUUCUCCCUGACCCGAAAGGGUUGGGAAACCCGUUGAAUCUCCUUCGUGAUAGGGAUUGGGGCUUGAAAUUGUUCCCCAUGAACGAGGAAUUCCCAGUAAGCGCGAGUCAUAAGCUCGCGCUGAAUACGUCCCUGCCCUUUGUACACACCGCCCGUCGCUCCUACCGAUUGAGUGGUCCGGUGAGGCUUUGGGAUCUGAGCGGAAAGAGCGUUUCGCUGUUUCUGCUCGGAAAACUCAGUCGAACCUUAUCAUUUAGAGGAAGGAGAAGUCGUAACA